rnacentral:rRNA from 1 species
UACGUAGGGUGCGAGCGUUAAUCGGAAUUACUGGGCGUAAAGCGUGCGCAGGCGGUUCGCCAAGUCAGGUGUGAAAUCCCCGGGCUUAACCUGGGAAUGGCGUUUGGGACUGGAAGUCUGGAGUGCGGCAGAGGAGACUGGAAUUCCUGGUGUAGCAGUGAAAUGCGUAGAUAUCAGGAGGAACACCGAUGGCGAAGGCAGGUCUCUGGGCUGACACUGACGCUCAUGCACGAAAGCGUGGGGAGCAAACAGG